AUUGAACGCUGGCGGAAUGCUUUACACAUGCAAGUCGAACGGUAGAGGGGGCAACCCCUCGAGAGUGGCGAACGGGUGAGUAAUAUAUCGGAACGUGCCCAGUCGUGGGGGAUAACGUAGCGAAAGUUACGCUAAUACCGUAUACGAUCUACGGAUGAAAGCGGGGGAUCGCAAGACCUCGCGCGAUUGGAGCGGCCGAUAUCAGAUUAGGUUGUUAGUGCGGUAAAAGCUCACCAAGCCUUCGAUCUGUAGCUGGUCUGAGAGGACGACCAGCCACACUGGAACUGAGACACGGUCCAGACUCCUACGGGAGGCAGCAGUGGGGAAUUUUGGACAAUGGACGCAAGUCUGAUCCAGCAAUGCCGCGUGCAGGACGAAGGCCUUCGGGUUGUAAACUGCUUUUGUACGGAACGAAACGGUGAGCUCUAAUACAGUUUGCUAAUGACGGUACCGUAAGAAUAGCACCGGCUAACUACGUGCCAGCAGCCGCCGUAA
rnacentral:rRNA from 1 species